rnacentral:rRNA from 1 species
UGGGGAAUAUUGCACAAUGGGGAAAACCCUGAUGCAGCGACGCCGCGUGAACGAAGAAGGUAUUCGUAUCGUAAAGUUCUGUCCUAUGGGAAGAUAAUGACAGUACCAUAGAAGAAAGCUCCGGCUAAAUACGUGCCAGCAGCCGCGGUAAUACGUAUGGAGCGAGCGUUGUCCGGAAUUAUUGGGCGUAAAGGGUACGCAGGCGGUUUAAUAAGUCGAAUGUUAAAGAUCGGGGCUAAACCCCGUAAAGCAUUGGAAACUGAUAAACUUGAGUAGUGGAGAGGAAAGUGGAAUUCCUAGUGUAGUGGUGAAAUACGUAGAUAUUAGGAGGAAUACCAGUAGCGAAGGCGACUUUCUGGACACAAACUGACGCUGAGGUACGAAAGCGUGGGGAGCAAACAGG